AACGAACGCUGGCGGCAGGCUUAACACAUGCAAGUCGAGCGCACCGCAAGGGGCGCGGCAGACGGGUGAGUAACGCGUGGGAUUCUACCCAUCUCUACGGAACAACGGCGGGAAACUGGAGCUAAUACCGUAUACGUCCUUCGGUAUAAAGAUUUAUCGGAGAUGGAUGAGCGCGCGUUGGAUUAGCGAGUUGGAAGGGUAAUGGGUUACUGAGGCGAAGAUCCAUAGCUGGUCUGGGAGGAUGAUCAGCCACAUUGGGACUGCGACACGGGCCAGACUCCUACGGGAGGCAGCAGUGGGGAAUAUUGGACAAUGGGCGAAAGCCUGAUCCAGCCAUGCCGCGUGAGUGAUGAAGGCCCUAGGGUUGUAAAGCUCUUUCACCGGUGAAGAUAAUGACGGUAACCGGAGAAGAAGCACCGGCUAACUUCGUGCCAGCCGCCGCCGUAACAC
rnacentral:rRNA from 1 species